ensembl:lncRNA
GAGGGUGAGGAAAGAGACUGUCCAAGUGGGCUGGUCAAGUAGUAAUUUCCUUUCCUUAGGACGUUAAGAAACAAUUCUUGGGAGUGCCCAUUAGUGAUAGUUAAAAAUUGAAUGAAGAUUUUGUCUUGUUAUAAGGUGUGUGUUUUACUUUGGAUCUAAAAAUGUAAGGAUGUCAUCCAAUCACAGAUGAGCUGUGGCAGAGGAGCGUCAAGCCUUGCGGUACGGUUGGCCACGUUACACAGUUCAGGGCAGCGACAGCAGCAGCAGCUACCUUGCAACCAUGAGACGGAAAAGUUUGAGAGCACAAGCCAACUCGCUAGGAUUGAAGGAGCCAAAAAUAGAAAGCAUCUGGGUCCCUGUUGGCAUUGAUGAGCAGCGGUACCACAGCCAGCUACUGUCUACUUUUUCCUCCCAAGAUUUUAUUACAAAAAUUUUUAAACAUACAGACAAGUUGAAAGAAUUGUACAGUGGACACCCACCACCUGUCUUCAUUUUAUACUUGCUUUAUCACAUCUGUCCAUCUAAACAGUUCUCCAAUCAUCCCUCAAUCUGUCUUUUUUUUUCUUUUGAGGAAGAUUAGCCCUGAGCUAACUACUGCCAAUCUUCCUCUUUUUGCUGAGGAAGACUGGCCCUGAGCUAACAUCUGUGCCCAUCUUCCUCUACUUUACAUGUGGGACGCCUACCACAGCAUGGCUUUUGCCAAGCGGUGCCAUGUCCGCACCCAGGAUCCGAGCCAGUGAACCCCGGGCGGCUGAGAAGCAGAACGUGUGAACUUAACCACUGCGCCACUGGGCCGGCCCAAUCCGUCUUUUUUUGAUGUAUUUCUAAGAACAGUUCACCGCUAGACAUUUCAGUAUGCAUCUGGUUCAGUAGACUAUUUGUGUAUUAUCUUUUUUAGUUGAAAAUUUUGUUGAGAUAAUUAUAGAUUCAUACACGGUUGUAAGAAAUAAUGUCGAGAGAUCUUUGCACACAUUGUCCAGUUCCCCCUAAUGAUAACAUUUUGCAACACUGUUGUGUAAGAUCACAAUUAGGAUAGUGGCAUUGAUGCAACCCACUGACCUUACUCAGGUUUCCUCAGUUUAACUUGUACUCAUUUGUGUGAGUGUGUCUGUUCAUUAAGUUUUAUGCAAUUGUAUACCUGUGCAGGUUCAUGUAUCCACACCACAGUCAAGAUACUGAAAAGCUUUUGUAUGUAAUUUACCUUACCUUAAAAAUUACAUGCAAUGAAGUGCAGAAAUCUUUUUUAUCUUUUUUUGACCACUUGGUAUACGUGUGGUUUUUUUUUUUUU